rnacentral:rRNA from 1 species
UACGAAGGGGGCUAGCGUUGCUCGGAAUUACUGGGCGUAAAGCGCACGUAGGCGGCUUCUUAAGUCGGUGGUGAAAUCCUGGAGCUCAACUCCAGAACUGCCUUCGAUACUGGGAGCUCGAGUCCGGGAGAGGUGAGUGGAACUGCGAGUGUAGAGGUGAAAUUCGUAGAUAUUCGCAAGAACACCAGUGGCGAAGGCGGCUCACUGGCCCGGUACUGACGCUGAGGUGCGAAAAGCGUGGGGGAGCGAAACAGGG